UACGGGGGGAGUAAGCGUUGUUCGGAUUUACUGGGCGUAAAGGGCGCGUAGGCGGUCAGCACAAGUCAGUUGUGAAAUCUCCGGGCUUAACUCGGAAAGGUCAACUGAUACUGUGCGACUAGAGUGCAGAAGGGGCAACUGGAAUUCUCGGUGUAGCGGUGAAAUGCGUAGAUAUCGAGAGGAACACCUGCGGCGAAGGCGGGUUGCUGGGCUGACACUGACGCUGAUGCGCGAAAGCCAGGGGAGCAAACGGG
rnacentral:rRNA from 1 species